CACGUAGGGCGCGAGCGUUGUCCGGAAUUACUGGGCGUAAAGCGUGCGCAGGCGGUCGGGUGUGUCAGAUGUGAAAUCCCGAGGCUCAACCUCGGAACUGCGUCUGAAACUACUCGACUAGAGUACUGGAGAGGGAAACGGAAUUCACGGUGUAGCAGUGAAAUGCGUAGAUAUCGUGAGGAACACCAGAGGCGAAGGCGGCUUCCUGGACAGUUACUGACGCUCAGGCACGAAAGCAUGGGGAGCAAAAGGG
rnacentral:rRNA from 1 species